GGGAGGAACAACCGCAGUUGCGGGGCCAGCUUUGGAGCCCUGGAUUCAGCCCCCACAGGAACUACGGAGCUCUCCGUCUGCAGGGCCUGGAGGCUCCGGGCGGG
rnacentral:pre_miRNA from 1 species